GUGCCAGCCGCCGCGGUAAUACCGGCAGCACGAGUGAUGGCCGAUAUUAUUGGGCCUAAAGCGUCCGUAGCUUGCUGUGUAAGUCCAUUGGGAAAUCGACGUGCUCAACGCGUCGGCGUCCGGUGGAAACUACACGGCUUGGGGCUGAGAGACUCGACGGGUACGUCCGGGGUAGGAGUGAAAUCCUGUAAUCCUGGACGGACCACCAAUGGGGAAACCACGUCGAGAGACCAGACCCGACAGUGAGGGACGAAAGCUCGGGUCUCAAACCGGAUUAGAAACCCCGGUAGUCC
rnacentral:rRNA from 1 species